rnacentral:lncRNA from 1 species
AAUACUAUCCACUGAGCAGAACUAUUUUCUCCGAUCUUAAUAUUAAACAAAAUCUUAAAUUGCAUAAUUAUAACAUGUACGCAAACAUAUAUUUAUUACACAUGUGCUUUUUACAUAAGAGAUGCUACAGAACUGUAUAUUACAAAAAGAGAAAAAGAUAUAUAAGAUAAGGAAGAGAAAAGAAAAGAGUAUGUUUCAGAGAGAGGUCAAACUGAGAAUAGGGA